GACGUAGGGUGCAAGCGUUGUCCGGAUUUAUUGGGCGUAAAGAGCUCGUAGGCGGCUCGUCGCGUCGACUGUGAAAACUCGGGGCUCAACCCCGAGCCUGCAGUCGAUACGGGCAGACUAGAGUGCGGUAGGGGAGACUGGAAUUCCUGGUGUAGCGGUGAAAUGCGCAGAUAUCAGGAGGAACACCGGUGGCGAAGGCGGGUCUCUGGGCCGUAACUGACGCUGAGGAGCGAAAGCGUGGGGAGCAAACAGG
rnacentral:rRNA from 1 species